UGGCUUAUGGUGCAGUGGUAGCAUUCUUGCUUUGCAUUUUUCCGAUGCCUGUGAGCGGUCCCGGGUUCAAACCCCUGUGGGUCCA